UACGAAGGGUACGAGCGUUAUUCGGAGUUACUGGGCGUAAAGAGCGUGUAGGCGGUUAAUUAAGUUAGUUGUUAAAUUCCUCGGCCUAACCGAGGACGAGCAACUAAUACUGGUUGGCUGGAGUGCAAGAGAGAGAAGUAGAAUUCCCGGAGUAGCGGUAAAAUGCGUAGAUCUCGGGAGGAAUACCGAUGGCGAAGGCAGCUUCUUGGCUUGUAACUGACGCUAAAGCGCGAAAGCGUGGGGAG
rnacentral:rRNA from 1 species